GAGUUUGAUCCUGGCUCAGAACGUACGCUGGCGGCACGCCUAACACAUGCAAGUCGAACGAAGUAGCAAUACUUAGUGGCAGACGGGUGAGUAACAUGUGGGUAUCUGCCCUUUGGCCUGGAAUAACACGAGGAAACUUGUGCUAAUACCGGAUAAGUCUUUACGGAGAAAGCUUUAUGCACCAUUGGAUGAGCCCGCACUUGAUUAGUUUGUUGGUGGGGUAAUGGCCUACCAAGACUGUGAUCAAUAGCUGAUUUGAGAGGAUGAUCAGCCACAUUGGGACUGAGACACGGCCCAAACUCCUACGGGAGGCAGCAGUGGGGAAUCUUGCACAAUGGAGGAAACUCUGAUGCAGCGAUGCCGCGUGAGUGAAGAAGGCCCUUGGGUUGUAAAGCUCUUUCGUCGGGGAAGAAAAUGACUGUACCCGAAUAAGAAGGUCCGGCUAACUUCGUGCCAGCAGCCGCGGUAAUACGAAGGGACCUAGCGUAGUUCGGAAUUACUGGGCUUAAAGAGUUCGUAGGUGGUUGAAAAAGUUAGUGGUGAAAUCCCAGAGCUUAACUCUGGAACUGCCAUUAAAACUUUUCAGCUAGAGUAUGAUAGAGGAAAGCAGAAUUUCUAGUGUAGAGGUGAAAUUCGUAGAUAUUAGAAAGAAUACCAAUUGCGAAGGCAGCUUUCUGGAUCAUUACUGACACUGAGGAACGAAAGCAUGGGUAGCGAAGAGGAUUAGAUACCCUCGUAGUCCAUGCCGUAAACGAUGUGUGUUAGACGUUGGAAAUUUAUUUUCAGUGUCGCAGCGAAAGCGAUAAACACACCGCCUGGGGAGUACGACCGCAAGGUUAAAACUCAAAUGAAUUGACGGGGACCCGCACAAGUAGUGGAGCAUGUGGUUUAAUUCGAAGAUACGCGCAGAACCUUACCGACACUUGACAUGUUCGUCGCGACUCUAAGAGAUUAGAGUUUUCGGGUUCGGCCGGACGAAACCACAGGUGC
rnacentral:rRNA from 1 species